rnacentral:piRNA from 1 species
UACAAACUUGGGAUGUUUUCUGAGGGAUGC